UCAACUUUGAAGAAGAUGACGAUUUUUUGUUUAUUUUGUGUAUUUUUCUUUGUUCAUUUGGGACUGGCCAAGAGACAGAAUCAUUUUGUUCAUUUAUUAGUAGAUCCGAAUGAUGGUCGACUAUAUAGGACCUAUGUACCUGGGGCUUACAAAGUUACAGCACCAAUAAGAACAUAGCAGACUCAUUGGAACCACCGAAAUCGAAUAUCCACUGUUUCCCACCAUCACGGUUAUUCUACCCAUCUUCCAGGACCUCUUCCACUUGCUAACCUCAUCAAAAUAAUCGUUCGCUUCGCCUUCAUUCUCUUUUUUUUGUGACGCCAACAAGUGUGGCACUUGAUCUUUUUCUUGCCACUUGCCAGGACACUCGGAUUGUGAUUGAGUGUGUGCAACAGAGCCCGGAGCCCGAAGGCAGCAGCCCGGCUGCGGAGUCCUAGACCCCCAGAGAACUCAUCGCACAUUCUGACCAACGUCCGGCUGCCCUGCCUUUUGUUUGGUCAUUUUCCGGGGAGUGUGAGUGAUGGAAAUUUCGAUGAUGUCCAUUCAACAAUGCCAGUUUAUUGAGGAGUAGCAAAAGGAAUUUAAUUUUGUACGAAACUUUUGCUGGGAUCGAACAAGGACAUCAUUGUCAUCAGUGGAGCAUCAGCUGUCCCUCAAGCUACUCCCCCUGAUUCGUAUUCUGCCGCUUCCCUCUUUAUCCAUCCGACAUUGGAUAGAUAAAACCCAAUUUGUUGCAAAUAAAAUAAAAAACAAUGCAGGCAAGCAAAUGGACAGACAGUCAA